CAAAGUUUCCGUAGGUGAACCUGCGGAAGGAUCAUUG
rnacentral:rRNA from 2 species